CAGCCACACUGGAACUGAGACACGGUCCAGACUCCUACGGGAGGCAGCAGUGGGGAAUAUUGCACAAUGGGCGCAAGCCUGAUGCAGCCAUGCCGCGUGUAUGAAGAAGGCCUUCGGGUUGUAAAGUACUUUCAGCGGGGAGGAAGGCGAUAAGGUUAAUAACCUUGUCGAUUGACGUUACCCGCAGAAGAAGCACCGGCUAACUCCGUGCCAGCAGCCGCGGUAAUACGGAGGGUGCAAGCGUUAAUCGGAAUUACUGGGCGUAAAGCGCACGCAGGCGGUCUGUCAAGUCGGAUGUGAAA
rnacentral:rRNA from 1 species